rnacentral:lncRNA from 1 species
UAUUUGGUGUUGAGGGAGAGUCAGAUCAUAUGGUAAUGCAGAUGCUACUCUCGUUACUUCUGUGUUAAAGAAGCAAUCGAAAUAUAUAGAACCUUGAAGGCUGGUGAUGGUGAUAAUGUAACGGAGCCUGUAGGUAGUUCAGGGCUCCCUGGAGGAAAGGAGCUCAAGAUAUCUAUCUACAUUAAACAUCUUACUUAUGCCCAUUGUUGAAAAAUCUCACUACCUGUGCUGAGCUCUUCAUAGUGAGUCUGAGUUUCCAGUCAAACAACCAGGAGUGGAAUCUGCCAGUAAUAAGUGCUACACAGCUUGCCAUACUCUCUUGUAACUUAUGGUCAAAUUUCAAAGAUUCAGAAAUCAUGAUCUGUCAAGUGGAAGAAUGAAAAUUGAAAAUCUGCUUCUUCGCUGAUGCCUGACCGGGUCUGAGUACUGCUGGUAAUGGAACAGGGAAAGGGGUUGAUUAUGCACUGUCUGGAACGUAAU